CAGUGGGGAAUAGUUGCACAAUGGGCGCAAGCCUGAUGCAGCCAUGCCGCGUGUAUGAAGAAGGCCUUCGGGUUGUAAAGUACUUUCAGCAGUGAGGAAGGUGGUGCAGUUAAUAGCUGUAUCAUUUCGACGUUAGCUGCAGAAGAAGCACCGGCUAAACUCCGUGCCAGCAGCCGCGGUAAUACGGAGGGUGCGAGCGUUAAUCGGAAUUACUGGGCGUAAAGCGCAUGCAGGUGGUUUGUUAAGUCAGAUGUGAAAGCCCGGGGCUCAACCUCGGAAUUGCAUUUGAAACUGGCAGACUAGAGUACUGUAGAGGGGGUAGAAUUUCAGGUGUAGCGGUGAAAUGCGUAGAGAUCUGAAGGAAUACCGGUGGCGAAGGCGGCCCCCUGGACAGAUACUGACACUCAGACUGCGAAAGCGUGGGGAGCAAACAGGAUUAGAUACCCUGGUAG
rnacentral:rRNA from 1 species